AGGGUGCUACACAUUUUGGAGGGACUUGUCAAGAAUAUUCAAGAAGCGCAGUAUCUUUGGCACACCAAUAAACCACACAUGCUCGGCGUAGAUUUGAUUGCUCGUUCCCGCAAUAGUGUCCGCCAUUUUGAUUUAAAAUAUGUGAGAAUCCUUUUCUGUCUUGCUCCAAUCUCCAGGAUAAAAGCGACAACUAAUUUACUGAACCUGGGAUUGUCCUAUACACAGUUGGAAGGGUCAGGCAGCUUCUGGUUGCAGAGGUAGUGAUGGCUUGUGUGUGAGGGAGUGUGUGUGUAAUCAUCCCUACAGAUUCAUGACCGUUCCUACCUGCAUAUUUGAAAUAAAUGACUGAAGAGGUCUGACCUAGGACACACAUUUUACUAAGCAGCAGCAGCCAUGUUCUGGAAGUUUGACCUGCACACGUCGUCCCAGCUGGAGGCCCUGCUUGAGAAAGACGAUGUCACGCUCACUGAGCUCAUGGAGGAGGAGGACGUACUGCAGGAGUGCAAGGCCCAGAACCGCAGGCUGCUGGUCUUCCUGUCCCAGGACACCUGCAUGCAAGAGCUACUGCACCUCAUCACCACAGAGCCACCUGCUGGUCUGGAAGAGAUCAAACGCUUCAAGCAUCCUAACAUAGCAUGUGAGCUGCUGACGAGUGAUGUAGGGGUGAUAAAUGAUAAGCUGGGGGGAGAGAAGACCCUUCUGGACAUCCUGUACUCCUUCCUGGAGCAGCCCCCUCCCCUCAACCCCCUCCUCGCAUCCUUCUUCAGCAAGACCAUUGGAAACCUCAUCACACGCAAGACCGAACAGGUGAUCUCCUUUUUGCGGGGAAAGGAGGGUUUCCUGGGUCUGGUUCUUAAACACAUCAACACAUCGGCCAUGAUGGACCUCCUGCUACGCCUCAUCAGCUGUGUAGAUCCUGCUCCUCUCCGACAAGACACACUCAAUUGGUUGAAUGAAGAGCGGCUGGCCCAGAGGCUCAUAGAACUCAUUCACCCUGGGAAAGACACGGAGAGACAGUCGAAUGCGUCCCAGACUGUGUGUGACAUCAUCCGUUUGAGCAGAGACCAGACCAAUCAGCUCCAAGAGAACUCUGAGGCCGACCCUCUGCUUGCCGUGCUGGAGUCGCAGGAGUGUGUGAGUCAGCUGCUGGACAACAUGUUUGUGGGAGAGAGCACAGAGAGCUGCAUCGUCUACGGAACUCAAGUCCUUCUCACCUUACUGGAGAUCAGGAGGCCGGGAGUGGAAGGUGUGCAGGAUGUGUGUGUUCUGGGAUAUGAAAGGUGUGUCGUCAGCAGCAUCCUGCAGGCUGUCCAACCCCACCUCAAACACUACCACCAACUACUGCUGGAUCCUCCCAGGCGGACCCCCAUGCUGACCAGUCUAGGUGUGUUGGAGGUGCCACUGGGUAACUGUCGUCUCCAUGUGGCCAGACUAAUGGCCUCCCUACUACAGACCACUAACAUGAGUUAUUACACCUGUUUUGACGACACGAUUUAUAACAACACCGUCACACUGGAGCUCUGCAGACUCCAGACCCUAAGCCUCCUACUGGACCUGUUCUUUAAGUACACCUGGAACAACUUCUUGCACUUCCAAGUGGAACUGUGUGUGGCAGCCAUUCUCAGCCACUCUGCUCAGGAAACGAGGCCCCAGGUUGGCCUGGUUAUCCAGGAAAGGCCCUUGGUUCCCCUGGAGGACAUUCCCCAGGCCAGCUUUGUGGCCCAGGAAAAACCCAUGUUUCCCCAGAAGGAGAAUCCUCAGGGCAGCCUCCCGACCCAGGAAAAGCCCAGGCUUCAGCAGGAGCCCCAGGAAAACCAUGCCUUGCCUGGCCCCAAACCACCACUGCCCUCUGUUCCUCCUGACAUCUCCACACAUAACCCACUGGUGACCCAUUUGUUUCAGGACUGUCGUCUGGUUCAGAGGAUAUUGGAGGCCUGGGAGGAGAAUGAUAAGACUCAGGCAGAGGGGGGUAUGAGGAGAGGCUACAUGGGUCACCUGACAAGAAUCGCUAAUACUGUAGUCUGUAACAUGGAGAAAGGACCAGUCCGCAUCCAGAUCAGCAGCCUUAUUACAGAGCUGCCUAAGGAUUGCAGGGGGCGCUGGGAGAGCUUUGUAGACCAGGCCCUGACAGAGACCAACAGGAAGAACACUGUAGACCUGGUCUCUCACAACCUGCGCUCCUCCAGUGAAGAUGAUGACCGACAGAGUCCCUUCCCCAAAGAGCUGUCACUGCAACAGACAUUCUCAGACUACCAAAUCCAGCAGAUGACUGCUAACUUUGUGGAUCAGUUUGGCUUCAAUGACGACGAGUUCUCAGAACACGGCGACAACAUCAGCGCCACCUUUGACCGGAUCAAAGAGAUCAACUUCAACGUGGACACAGAGGACACUGCUAAGACUGCAGCAUUUGAGGCCUGCACUAAAGAGAAGAUCCAGUUGUUUGAUGACAGCGAGGAAGAAGACAUCUGGGAGGAGAGAGAGAUCAACUAUACUAUGCACACCAAGUCUAGGACCAGGUUUGGGGGGCCACAGACGUCUGUUGGAUCGGCUCAGAGUGAUGGGAUGAGCGAUACUCCUGAUAAGUCAACAGGUUCUGACACAGAGGGGGAGGUGCCUAAUGAGGUCACAGGUCAGACUGAACACAGCAAGAACAUCAGCCAGACGGAGACUGCACAGAGCCCUGGCUGGGCGGCUAGUUUCGGGGAGGUGAACUUUAACUCCCCCUCAUCUGGAGUGGACCCAUGGGGUAGCCCCGCCCCCAAGCCUGGAGUGGGAGUAGACCCAUGGGGUAGCCCUGCCCCCAAGCCUGGAGUGGGAGUAGACCCAUGGGGUACCCCCGCCCCCAAGCCUGGAGUGGGCAUAGACCCAUGGGGUGGCCCUGCCCCCAAGCCUGGAGUGGGUGUAGACCCAUGGGGUAGCCCUGCCCCCAAGCCUGGAGUGGGCGUAGACCCAUGGGACAGCCCUGCCCCCAAGCACGGAGUGGCCGUAGACGCAUGGGGAAGUCCCGCCCCACAGCCUGUAACUACAGAGGCUGAGAAGGGCUGGGCCAAGUUCACUGACUUUCAGCCCUUUUGCUGUUCAGAGACAGGUUUGAGGUGCACUUCUCCAGUGGACUCGGAGAUCUGUGGGUCAGACAAAACUAAACCCAGCCAGGGAAUGAACCCAUGUGUGUGGAGUGUGUGUGUGGCGAGGAAGGCUCCCCUGGUAGCAUCAGACACCUCUUCAUCAGGAGGCUCAGACAGCGAGGAAGAGGAAGAAAAGACUGAAUCUGUUACUAUGGAGAUAGUAUCCAAGGAAAUGGUCACUACAGAGACCAUCGUCACAACCCCCGGACUGGAGACCAUCAGACUUAACAUGAACGUCAAGAAGGAGAGGGAUGGCUUCAACAGGUUGGAGGCUGCCACCACCAUGCUUCACCGUAGGGAUGGUGCCAGGUUUCGUCCAGACAUGACGCUUGGCAUUCAGGCCGAAGAGUUCAGACCAGAGAUUCUUGUUUUUCAUAGUCUGAGUCCUUAAGUGAGGUUGACAUGAAAGAGAAGGAAAAGGAGAAAAAGAGGGUGAUGGGUGGAGAAGACCUGCUUAAUGCCACAGCUGCUCCUCUCACAGAUCGCCCUGCCACCGUCACAAAAGAGACACCCUCCUCAGCAAAUGGACCAGCCUAGUACUGCGCUACCACAACACUUACACACUCCAUUCCCUAGCUAACACAACCACACUCCACUUCCCAACAACACUCUAUGAAAUGCAACAUCCUGUAUUUGUGAGCAGUGCUGUCCUGUCAUUGGUCCAUGUCAAGGACAUCUAUGGUGGUUGAGCAGGACAAAAGCAGAAGAGAAAAGCCAGUUCAGAAUCCAGACCACAGCUCUUAAACACAAACAACCAAUAAACAGAUUAAUGUGAUGUUUGUCCCUGCCCUUCUGCUGAAGUCUCUCCUACACACCUAUCACCACUCUACACACUAGGACAUGGUGUGUGUGUGUGGUGUGUGGGUACGUUAGUGCUGCACAAUGAAUCAAAUUCACAUCGACAUCGCAAUAUUGACAUGUGCAAUGUCCUUGUCUCAACAUCCAAAGUUGCAACAAUAGUUUUAAAAUGGCACUAAGCCGCGUAAGGAAAGUUAUAGUUUUCCCUGUCCUCCCUCUUGCGGCAUAUUCACACUCACACCAAGACUCUACCCCUGUCAAUCAAGCAGCGCAUUUCCUCCUCCUCCUCGGUCAAUGCAGUCAACAGAUUGUUCUAAACAAGAACGAUGCUUCUUUCCACUUUGCUUCCUAAUAUACAGUACCGGUCAACAUUUUGGACAUACCUACUCAUUCAAGGGGAUUUCUUUCAUUUGACUAUUUUCUACACUGUAAAGCUCCAACAGGUGCUUCGCAUAUGUGGGUACUCCUUCAAGAUUGUUGGAAAGGUAUUCCAGGUGACUACCUCCAUAAAGCUGGUUGAGAGGAUGCCAAGAGUGUGCAACGCUGUCAUCAAGGCAAAGGGUGGCUACUUUGAAGAAUCUAAAAUAUAUUUUGAUUUAACACUUCUUUGGUUACUACAUGAUUCCAUAUGUGUUAUUUCAUAGUUUUGACGUCUUCAAUGUAAUUCUACAAUGUAGAAAAUAAAGAAAACCCUUGAAUGAGUAGGUGUAUCCAAACGUUUUACUGGUACUGUACGUGUUUCUAUGAUUUCAACAGUUCACCUAAGUGUUUUGAUCUUCCUCACGAGUCAAAUUGCUAUUCAUUUUUGUGGGCUGUCAUACAGCUCUAGCACACGCACAUGAUCCAGCUUUAUGUUGUCUUGUUAGUUCUUAUCUCUCCAGCUGUGUUUUUAAAAUAUUUUAUUUUGCACUUAACUUAAGCUCUUUGUUGAGUAGAGAGACGAGACACUCUACUCCCGCUGUAGUCAUCCUCAGGCCAGAGCAAAGUCUGAGGCCUGGGGAGGAGGGGAGUGGGUAGUCAGUACUGACUGUAAGAUCCUCAAAGCCAAAAUGUGUUCCUAGUUUAAUUUAUUUGACUCAAUCAUUUUAUUAAAGAAAAUCCAGAAUGAUUAUGAAAAUCAUCUACUAUCUUUCUCUCUCUUUGUGUGGACUAUUACAAGUAGUGAAGAUAUUGGUUGUGUCUGUGCGGUCUCUUCGCUGGUGUGUGGAAGAUUUGGGAUAUAUUCUCAAGUUAAAAGAGCAGUCCUGUGGAUGUGAUGAAAACACACCUGUGUGACGUCACACAAACGCACAGCAUGAUUACACACACACACACAGUAUUCGGCCCCCUUAAGUUAAUACUUUGUAGCGCCACCUUUUGCUGCGAUUACAGCUGUAAGUCGCUUGGGGUAUGUCUCUAUCAGUUUUGCACAUCGAGAGACUGACAUUUUUUCCCAUUCCUCCUUGCGAAACAGCUCGAGCUCAGUGAGGUUGGAUGGAGAGCAUUUGUGAACAGCAGUUUUCAGUUCUUUCCACAGAUUCUCGAUUGGAUUCAGGUCUGGACUUUGACUUGGCCAUUCUAACACCUGGAUAUGUUUAUUUUUGAACCAUUCCAUUGUAUAUUUUGCUUUAUUUUUUGGAUCAUUGUCUUGUUGGAAGACAAUUCUCCGUCCCAGUCUCAGGUCUUUUGCAGACUCCAUCAGGUUUUCUUCCAGAAUGGUCCUGUAUUUGGCUCCAUCCAUCUUCCCAUCAAUUUUAACCAUCUUCCCUGUCCCUGCUGAAGAAAAGCAGGCCCAAACCAUGAUGCUGCCACCACCAUGUUUGACAGUGGGGAUGUUGUGUUCAGGGUGAUGAGCUGUGUUGCUUUUACGCCAAACAUAACGUUUUGCAUUGUUGCCAAAAAGUUCAAUUUUGGUUUCAUCUGACCAGAGCACCUUCUUCUACAUGUUUGGUGUGUCUCCCAGGUGGCUUGUGGCAAACUUUAAACGACACUUUUUAUGGAUAUCUUUAAGAAAUGGCUUUCUUCUUGCCACUCUUCCAUAAAGGCCAGAUUUGUGCAAUAUACGACUGAUUGUUGUCCUAUGGACAGAGUCUCCCACCUCAGCUGUAGAUCUCUGCAGUUCAUCCAGAGUGAUCAUGGGCCUCUUGGCUGCAUCUCUGAUCAGUCUUCUCCUUGUAUGAGCUGAAAGUUUAGAGGGACGGCCAGGUCUUGGUAGAUUUGCAGUGGUCUGAUACUCCUUCCAUUUCAAUAUUAUCGCUUGCACAGUGCUCCUUGGGAUGUUUAAAGCUUGGGAAAUCUUUUUGUAUCCAAAUCCGGCUUUAAACUUCUUCACAACAGUAUCUCGGACCUGCCUGGUGUGUUCCUUGUUCUUCAUGAUGCUCUCUGCGCUUUUAACGGACCUCUGAGACUAUCACAGUGCAGGUGCAUUUAUAUGGAGACUUGAUUACACACAGCUGGAUUGUAUUUAUCAUCAUUAGUCAUUUAGGUCAACAUUGGAUCAUUCAGAGAUCCUCACUGAACUUCUGGAGAGAGUUUGCUGCACUGAAAGUAAAGGGGCUGAAUAAUUUUGCACGCCCAAUUUUUCAGUUUUUGAUUUGUUAAAAAAGUUUGAAAUAUCCAAUAAAUGUCGUUCCACUUCAUGAUUGUGUCCCACUUGUUGUUGAUUCUUCACAAAAAAAUACAGUUUUAUAUCUUUGUUUGAAGCCUGAAAUGUGGCGAAAGGUCACAAAUUUCAAGGGGGCCGAAUACUUUCGCAAGGCACUGUAUAUACACAUACAUACAUACAUACAUACAUACAUACAUACAUACAUACAUACAUACACACACAAACACAGCGUGAGGCAUACACACACACACACACACACACACACACCACUACCUGAGUGUGCAUACACACAAAGCGUCAGACAUACACCACUACCUGAGCGCACACCAACAGUCACACCCUUCCAUAUGUAAUAUUGUGACAUUUGAACCUGUAUUAGGUUGUGGUAUAAUGUAAACGUAUUAUGUAAACAGUAUAUAAAUAAACACAUCUAUUUUUGGUAUCAAUUCAGAUGUAUCGGAAAGCGGUUUGCUGUGUGUGUGUUGAAAUGAGGCAAUAAUGACAUCUGUGUUUUUGGUUUUUACCCCAGCAUCAGACCCUGUAACCCUGCUACAUGCUUUCACCUGGGAGGGGGGGGGGGGGUUCCAUUGACCAGAUUGGCGCACAUUCAACAAAUCUGAUCUAACGAAGUGGAUAUUCGUCAGUUACAAAUAUCAUGAUUUUUUUUGUAUUGUAACAGGCCCACAAUGUCGGUGCUGAAGUCUGAUUUUUGUGUUAUUUCGCUGCAUGGAAUGCAGAUGAUUGCUAAAUGCUAACUCUCAUUCGUAUAUAAGCUGGUUAGCAGAGCUAGCAUACAGAAAACAGAGUUAGUCAAAUUUGUUUUUAACUUUAAUGCAGUUGAUUGGUAACAAUGACAUGAACAUGUGUUGGUGUUGACAUCCAUACCAGCAUUAUACUCUGGUGUUUAGAGACUUGUGAUCUUUUCCCCACGCAUUCCCAUGGCAAUUCCAUUAUUUUGGUCAAGUUCGAUUGAUCUCUUUACUGCAUCUAUGCUAUAAUCAUGCUCUAUCAUCCCAUCAGUAUAAAAAGAGCUCUCUCUCCCUCCUUUCUCUCAGAGCAUAGCAUGUCCUUAAUGUUAUUUGGUUUUAUGUUUCUAAAGCACUUUGUGAUGGUGUCACAACCACCCAAGGUUUUUCCUCACAGCUGAGGAGAUGUUUGACUUAAAGGAAUUUUUAAAUAACUAUGUUAUAUGAUGGGUUUUUAUCCACAGAUCGUGAUGCCAAAGUGUCUUCCAGAGUGGGCUGGGUCUCAGUCCUAUAAGAGAUAGUCUUCUUCCUCAGAAGUGUCCAGGGGAUUAAAAAGGGGUUGUGUAAGUGGUAAAGGCUUAGGUUCAGGAGAAGCGUGGAGGGUAGAGACAAAUGAAAUAGGCUAGAUUUGGGACUGGGAGAAGGAUCCACCCUGAGUCAGGGUCUGAAAAAAGCUAACUAGUUGUGUGUACAGGGUUACAUCAUACCUUCACCCCAACACCACACUGCAUCGGACCCAUACGUGUGUAUGUGCUUUCUGAAGUCAGAAGCCUUUUGUAAAGGGCGCGGCUGCUGGUGGUUCAUUUCUGUAUAAGUAAUAGGUAUGUUACUGUUGUCAAACCCUAGCCUGUAUGUUAAGAUAUCAAACUAAUAAAUAUGUCAAUCAUCAA